GAUGAACGCUGGCGGCGUGCCUAAUACAUGCAAGUCGGGCGAACAGAUGAGGAGCUUGCUCCUCUGACGUUAGCGGCGGACGGGUGAGUAACACGUGGAUAACCUACCUAUAAGACUGGGAUAAAUUCGGGAAACCGGAGCUAAUACCGGAUAAUAUAUUGAACCGCAUGGUUCAAUAGUGAAAGACGGUUUUGCUGUCACUUAUAGAUGGAUCCGCGCCGCAUUAGCUAGUUGGUAAGGUAACGGCUUACCAAGGCAACGAUGCGUAGCCGACCUGAGAGGGUGAUCGGCCACACUGGAACUGAGACACGGUCCAGACUCCUACGGGAGGCAGCAGUAGGGAAUCUUCCGCAAUGGGCGAAAGCCUGACGGAGCAACGCCGCGUGAGUGAUGAAGGUCUUCGGAUCGUAAAACUCUGUUAUUAGGGAAGAACAAAUGUGUAAGUAACUAUGCACGUCUUGACGGUACCUAAUCAGAAAGCCACGGCUAACUACGUG
rnacentral:rRNA from 1 species